rnacentral:rRNA from 1 species
AUCGUAAGGUUUGCUGGAGGUAUCAGAAGUGCGAAUGCUGACAUGAGUAACGACAAAGGGGGUGAAAAACCUCCUCGCCGGAAGACCAAGGGUUCCUGUCCAACGUUAAUCGGGGCAGGGUGAGUCGACCCCUAAGGUGAGGCCGAAAGGCGUAAUCGAUGGGAAACGGGUUAAUAUUCCCGUACUUCUGACUAUUGCGAUGGGGGGACGGAGAAGGCUAGGUGGGCCAGGCGACGGUUGUCCUGGUUCAAGUGCGUAGGCUUGAGAGUUAGGUAAAUCCGGCUCUCUUUAAGGCUGAGACACGACGUCGAGCUGCUACGGCAGUGAAGUCAUUGAUGCCAUGCUUCCAGGAAAAGCCUCUAAGCUUCAGAUAGUCAGGAAUCGUACCCCAAACCGACACAGGUGGUCGGGUAGAGAAUACCAAGGCGCUUGAGAGAACUCGGGUGAAGGAACUAGGCAAAAUGGUACCGUAACUUCGGGAGAAGGUACGCUCUUGAUGGUGAAGUCCCUCGCGGAUGGAGCUGACGAGAGUCGCAGAUACCAGGUGGCUGCAACUGUUUAUUAAAAACACAGCACUGUGCAAAAUCGCAAGAUGACGUAUACGGUGUGACGCCUGCCCGGUGCCGGAAGGUUAAUUGAUGGGGUUAGCGCAAGCGAAGCUCUUGAUCGAAGCCCCGGUAAACGGCGGCCGUAACUAUAACGGUCCUAAGGUAGCGAAAUUCCUUGUCGGGUAAGUUCCGACCUGCACGAAUGGCGUAAUGAUGGCCACGCUGUCUCCACCCGAGACUCAGUGAAAUUGAAAUCGCUGUGAAGAUGCAGUGUACCCGCGGCUAGACGGAAAGACCCCGUGAACCUUUACUACAGCUUGGCACUGAACAUUGAACCUACAUGUGUAGGAUAGGUGGGAGGCUAUGAAGACGUGACGCCAGUUGCGUUGGAGCCGUCCUUGAAAUACCACCCUUGUAUGUUUGAUGUUCUAACUUAGACCCAUUAUCUGGGUUGAGGACAGUGCCUGGUGGGUAGUUUGACUGGGGCGGUCUCCUCCCAAAGAGUAACGGAGGAGCACGAAGGUGGGCUAAUCACGGUUGGACAUCGUGAGGUUAGUGCAAUGGCAUAAGCCCGCUUAACUGCGAGAAUGACGGUUCGAGCAGGUGCGAAAGCAGGUCAUAGUGAUCCGGUGGUUCUGUAUGGAAGGGCCAUCGCUCAACGGAUAAAAGGUACUCCGGGGAUAACAGGCUGAUACCGCCCAAGAGUUCAUAUCGACGGCGGUGUUUGGCACCUCGAUGUCGGCUCAUCACAUCCUGGGGCUGAAGUCGGUCCCAAGGGUAUGGCUGUUCGCCAUUUAAAGUGGUACGCGAGCUGGGUUUAGAACGUCGUGAGACAGUUCGGUCCCUAUCUGCCGUGGGCGUUGGAAGAUUGAAGGGGGCUGCUCCUAGUACGAGAGGACCGGAGUGGACGAACCUCUGGUGUUCGGGUUGUGUCGCCAGACGCAUUGCCCGGUAGCUAAGUUCGGAAUUGAUAAGCGCUGAAAGCAUCUAAGCGCGAAGCGAGCCCUGAGAUGAGUCUUCCCUGACAGUUUAACUGUCCUAAAGGGUUGUUCGAGACUAGAACGUUGAUAGGCAGGGUGUGUAAGCGUUGUGAGGCGUUGAGCUAACCUGUACUAAUUGCCCGUGAGGCUUAACCAU